GGGGUUCCGGCCCGGGGGCUGCGGCCGCCGGGUCUGAAAGUUAGCUACCUGGUUGAUUCUGCCAGAGUCAUAUGCUGUCUCAAAGAUAAGCCAUG
rnacentral:rRNA from 1 species